AUUGAACGCUGGCGGCAGGCCUAACACAUGCAAGUCGAGCGGAUGAGGGGAGCUUGCUCCCUGAUUUAGCGGCGGACGGGUGAGUAAUGCGUAGGAAGCUGCCCGAUAGAGGGGGAUACCAGUUGGAAACGACUGUUAAUACCGCAUAAUGUCUAUGGACCAAAGUGUGGGACCUUCGGGCCACAUGCUAUCGGAUGCGCCUACGUGGGAUUAGCUAGUUGGUGAGGUAAUGGCUCACCAAGGCGACGAUCUCUAGCUGGUUUGAGAGGAUGAUCAGCCACACUGGAACGGAGACACGGUCCAGACUCCUACGGGAGGCAGCAGUGGGGAAUAUUGGACAAUGGGCGCAAGCCUGAUCCAGCCAUGCCGCGUGUGUGAAGAAGGCCUUCGGGUUGUAAAGCACUUUCAGCGAGGAGGAAGGGUGGUGUGUUAAUAGCACAUCAUUUUGACGUUACUCGCAGAAGAAGCACCGGCUAACUCUGUGCCAGCCGCCGCCGUAAUAC
rnacentral:rRNA from 1 species